rnacentral:rRNA from 1 species
AUAGAGUCAAGUGAAUAAGUGCAUCAGGCGGAUGCCUUGGCGAUGAUAGGCGACGAAGGACGUGUAAGCCUGCGAAAAGCGCGGGGGAGCCGGCAAUAAAGCAAUGAUUCCGCGAUGUCCGAAUGGGGAAACCCACUGCAUUCUGUGCAGUAUCCUAAGUUGAAUACAUAGACUUAGAGAAGCGAACCCGGAGAACUGAACCAUCUAAGUACCCGGAGGAAAAGAAAUCAACCGAGAUUCCGCAAGUAGUGGCGAGCGAACGCGGAGGAGCCUGUACGUAAUAACUGUCGAGAUAGAAGAACAAGCUGGGAAGCUUGACCAUAGUGGGUGACAGUCCCGUAUUCGAAAUCUCAACAGCGGUACUAAGCGUACGAAAAGUAGGGCGGACACGUGAAAUCCUGUCUGAAUAUGGGGGACCAUCCUCCAGGCUAAAUACUCAUCAUCGACGAUAGUGAACCAGUACCGUGAGGGAAAGGCGAAAAGAACCCCGGGAGGGGAGUGAAACAGAACCUGAAACCUGAUGCAUACAAACAGUGGGAGCGCCCUAGAGUGUGACUGCGUACCUUUUGUAUAAUGGGUCAACGACUUACAUUCAGUAGCGAGCUUAACCGAAUAGGGGAGGCGUAGGGAAACCGAGUCUUAAUAGGGCGAUGAGUUGCUGGGUGUAGACCCGAAACCGAGUGAUCUAUCCAUGGCCAGGUUGAAGGUGCCGUAACAGGUACUGGAGGACCGAACCCACGCAUGUUGCAAAAUGCGGGGAUGAGCUGUGGAUAGGGGUGAAAGGCUAACAAACUCGGAGAUAGCUGGUUCUCCCCGAAAACUAUUUAGGUAGUGCCUCGAGCAAGACACUGAUGGGGGUAAAGCACUGUUAUGGCUAGGGGGUUAUUGCAACUUACCAACCCAUGGCAAACUCAGAAUACCAUCAAGUGGUUCCUCGGGAGACAGACAGCGGGUGCUAACGUCCGUUGUCAAGAGGGAAAGAACCCAGACCGCCAGCUAAGGUCCCCAAUGAUAGAUUAAGUGGUAAACGAAGUGGGAAGGCCCAGACAGCCAGGAUGUUGGCUUAGAAGCAGCCAUCAUUUAAAGAAAGCGUAAUAGCUCACUGGUCGAGUCGUCCUGCGCGGAAGAUGUAACGGGGCUCAAAUCUAUACCCGAAGCGCGGAUGCCGGUUUAUCGGCAUGGUAGGGGAGCGUUCUGUAGGCCGAUGAAGGUGCAUUGUAAAGUGUGCUGGAGGUAUCAGAAGUGCGAAUGUUGACAUGAGUAGCGAUAAAGCGGGUGAAAAGCCGCUCGCCGAAAGCCCAAGGUUUCCUGCGCAACGUUCAUCGGCGUAGGGUGAGUCGGCCCCUAAGGCGAGGCAGAAAUGCGUAGUCGAUGGGAAACAGGUUAAUAUUCCUGUACUUGAUUCAAAUGCGAUGUGGGGACGGAGAAGGUUAGGUUGGCAAGCUGUUGGAAUAGCUUGUUUAAGCCGGUAGGUGGAAGACUUAGGCAAAUCCGGGUCUUCUUAACACCGAGAAGUGACGACGAGUGUCUACGGACACGAAGCAACCGAUACCACGCUUCCAGGAAAAGCCACUAAGCUUCAGUUUGAAUCGAACCGUACCGCAAACCGACACAGGUGGGCAGGAUGAGAAUUCUAAGGCGCUUGAGAGAACUCAGGAGAAGGAACUCGGCAAAUUGAUACCGUAACUUCGGGAGAAGGUAUGCCCUCUAAGGUUAAGGACUUGCUCCGUAAGCCCGGAGGGUCGCAGAGAAUAGGUGGCUGCGACUGUUUAUUAAAAACACAGCACUCUGCUAACACGAAAGUGGACGUAUAGGGUGUGACGCCUGCCCGGUGCUGGAAGGUUAAUUGAAGAUGUGAGAGCAUCGGAUCGAAGCCCCAGUAAACGGCGGCCGUAACUAUAACGGUCCUAAGGUAGCGAAUUCCUUGUCGGGUAAGUUCCGACCCGCACGAAUGGCGUAACGAUGGCCACACUGUCUCCUCCUGAGACUCAGCGAAGUUGAAGUGGUUGUGAAGAUGCAAUCUACCCGCUGCUAGACGGAAAGACCCGUGAACCUUUACUGUAGCUUUGCAUUGGACUU